CUGCUUUAUUUUGCUACUUUGUUUGGAUGUUUUGUUGUUACUUUGCCUUGUUGAUUUUGUUUUGCUACUUUGCCCAGUUUUGUCUUCUUAUGUUUUUGUAAUCAGCUUUUCAAUAAAGCUCGCCAUUUGUUUCCUUGAUCUGGCCUCCGGUAACUGCAUUUGGGUCCACCUCCCCUUCCAUAGUUUUCCCUUUUACCCCGACCUGACAAUAAUUACAUUAUCACCAUAUGAGAAGCUGUCUGACUCUGUCACUCGCAGGGAAGGAGGCUGUUUUCUGGGGGAAAGUUCAUUGAAGUGACUCUCAGGAGAGCUGUCACUGUGAUUUUUUUUUUUUUCAAGACAGUAACUACAACAACACAAUAGUGUACAGAGACACUUGAUGAGUUAAAUUUUUUUUGCUGGUGACAGACGCCGUUUUUUUGGGCAGAAAUGUGAGUAUCGGUAGUUGGUAGGACAGACAGGAUGACAUACAGGAUGAUAGACACUUCUCCAUGUAUAACUAGUAUCUUUUUUUUACUCGUAUAAGAUGCCAAAGACACUAUCCAUUACUAUGUUACUGCUGUUUGGUCCAGUAACAGUGCUUUGUGGGACAUUUCUCUUCAUUUUGUUGAGUGGAGGAUCUGUUUAGUUAUCACACUUAGGCCUGUCAUGAUAAUCAAUAAAUUAAUGAAUCAUAUGAUAAAUAAAAAUGAGCUUGAUAAUUCUGCCAGCCUCAAUAAUUUCCAUUUGCAUGCUUGUUUGUUUUCCUCAUAUCUUUCACGUGAAUCCUCCUGUCAAUCACUCUUUCUCUGUCUCUGUGUUGGGAGGCGGGCCCUGCCCCUGACAUAACACAGAGUGCAGCAUGGGAGCCCCGUGAGGAGUAGCAAGCCAGAGAGGGGAGACAGAGCGCAUUGUGGUCAAGAUGUGUGAGUGGGCACACGAGCUGCACACUGGAGUCAGACACUACUCAACACAUUCUGGGACUGAGAGGAACUACAGAUAUCUGUCAAAUUCACCCUCCAAGAGUUGUGUUCAUUCUCAAAGGACAAUUUUACCUCCCUUUCCUCUAUAAAUAACUCUCAUUUCCAGUUCUGAGUCUAAAAAUAUUCCCUCUUUAAAUGUCAGUGCCGUGUUGUCAUGUGAUAAAGAUAUUCUUUGAAAAUCUCUGAACUCUUUAAAGUCAUCAUCCUGAAAUACAUUUUGCCAAAACAGUUAAAACAUUAGAUUAACAUCAUCCAACUCCUGAAAGGUGGCCUAACGUUGAUAAAGUUUUUGUCCUUCUGAAAGUCUAAAGCUGGCCCUCACAAGUGUAGUAAAUGGAGUGAGCUAUCUUCUAAACUCAUGGUGUUCUAUGUUUAUUUGAUAAGUAAUUGUCAACUAGCACCAAAUUUGUUGUGAUUAAGCUAAAUAAGGCUUUGCAGGGCUCUGCGACGCAUGUGCAGAGAAAAAUCAAUCAGAGACUCCAUUCCCUGGCACUAAUUCGAUUUAGUUCAGUUUGAAAAAAACAAAGCUGUUAGGCUGGGGACCAGGUCUCAACACACAUUAUGGCAACUAUUCAUUUGAUGAAAAAAGUGGACUUAGUCAGAAUAUUAGAAUGAGUACAGCUCCCAGGUCUCUCCUUCUUCCUCUCUGCUGCGCUGCAGCCCUGCCUUCAAAGCCCCUCCUCACAGAGGAGCCUGCUGUGCAUAAGGAGGCUCGUAACCAUGGUAACAGAGGA